rnacentral:rRNA from 1 species
GACGUAGGGGACGAGCGUUGUCCGGAUUCAUUGGGCGUAAAGCGCGCGUAGGCGGUUCGGUAAGUCGGGUGUGAAAACACGAGGCUCAACCUCGUGCGUGCAUCCGAUACUGCCGGACUAGAGGUAGGUAGGGGAGAUCGGAAUUCCUGGUGUAGCGGUGAAAUGCGCAGAUAUCAGGAGGAACACCGGUGGCGAAGGCGGUUCUCUGGGCAUUACCUGACGCUGAGGAGCGAAAGUGUGGGGAGCGAACAGG